GACGAACGCUGGCGGCGUGCCUAAUACAUGCAAGUAGAACGCUGAAGCGAGGAGCUUACUCUUCUUGGAUGAGUUGCGAACGGGUGAGUAACGCGUAGGUAACCUGCCUUGUAGCGGGGGAUAACUAUUGGAAACGAUAGCUAAUACCGCAUAACACUGGAUGCCACAUGUCAUUUAUUUGAAAGGGGCAAUUGCUCCACUACAAGAUGGACCUGCGUUUUAUUAGCUAGUAGGUGAGGUAAUGGCUCACCUAGGCGACGAUACAUAGCCGACCUGAGAGGGUGAUAGGCCACACUGGGACUGAGACAAGGACCAGACUCCUACGGGAGGCAGCAGGAGGGAAUCUUCGGCAACGGGGGCAACCCUGACCGAGCAACGCCGCGGGAGGGAAGAAGGGUUUCGGAUCGGAAAGCUCUGUUGUAAGUCAAGAACGGGUGUGAGAGUGGAAAGUUCACACUGUGACGGUAGCUUACCAGAAAGGGACGGCUAACUACGUG
rnacentral:rRNA from 1 species